rnacentral:rRNA from 1 species
AACGAACGCUGGCGGCACGCCUAACACAUGCAAGUCGAACGCGAACGCACCUUCGGGUGUUAUUAGAGUGGCGGACGGGUGAGUAACACGUGGGAAUAUGCCUUUCGGUACAGAACAACGCUUGGAAACGAGUGCUAAUACUGUAUACGCCCUCCGGGGGAAAGAUUUAUCGCCGAGAGAUUGGCCCGCGUUAGAUUAGCUAGUUGGUGAGGUAAUGGCUCACCAAGGCGACGAUCUAUAGCUGGUUUGAGAGGAUGAUCAGCCACACUGGGACUGAGACACGGCCCAG